GUGUGUCUGUGUGUGUGUGUGCGUGUCAGUGAGUCUACAUCCGGCGUACAUCUCUCCAUCACUGGCUCAGCAUUAUGGUGGAAUUCACUCUGAGUAAACCUGAUACCACCUGCCCUCUCUGUCGCUCUCUCUUCAUUCUUUUAGUUUCUCUUGUCGUCUGUUUGUCUGUUUAUCUUCACAUCUGAUCAUCUGAUCACUUCUCUCUAUGUUGUCAACACACGCCUCUCUCCUGAUCUACGUUGCCAUCGUUACCAUAGGCAUCCUCAGGGUAUACACAAAAAUCAAGACAAAGAUACUAGCUCUGUAAUAUCUCAACAAUACUCACACCUGCAUCUUUAACUCUCUCUCUCGCUCUCUCUCUCUCUCUCUCUCUCUCUCUCUCUCUCUCUCUCUCUCUCUCUCUCUCUCUCCCUUCUUUUAAGGGUAAGGGUCGAUCUCAGGGAAGUUUUAUUUUUAGUGACUCACAAACCCCUGAUUUGACUAUAUUUAAAGUAUGCACACAGAAACACGCAUAGAAACACACACACGCACACACACACACAGAUACCAGAAUAGACUUUGAGUGUGGGAAAAAGUUCCCUGCAGCUCUGUUGGACUUUAACACACGUGUUUAUGUUGAGCUCAGAGUGUGAGUGUGUAGGUGCGGUCACGUGUUGGUAUGCGCGUGUUUGCGCAAUUGUGUUUAGGUUACUUAACAUCUAGCUUGCAACUUUCACAUUCAUUACUGUGUGUGUGCUGUGUGUGUGUGUGUGUGUGUGUGGUUUGUGUGUGUGUGUGUGUGUGCGUGUGUGUGGAGGUGUGUGUGUGGAGGUGUGUGUGUGUGUGGAGGUGUGUGUGUGUGUGUGUGUGUGUGUGUGUGUGUGUGUGUGUGUGUGUGUGUGUGUGUGUGUGUGUGUGUGUGUGUGUGUGUGUGUGUGUGUGUGUGUGUGUGUGUGUGUGUGUGUGUGUGUGUGUGUGUGUGUUUGUCUGUUGAAAUGAUAAUUCUGCCCCUGCGGUUUACAAGGAUCAUAACAAUUUGUUUUGUGUGUUAUUAGCUUAAGUACAUUGUGUUUGUCUCUAUUUGUGUCUUAGAUGAUCAGAUUGCAUUUCAUGACUGAUCCAUCUCUCUGUCUGUGUUAUCAGGGCUAUUUCCACAUAACUGAGUAUAAGUGAUGUGUGGGUCCAGAGAAGGAAAGCUGAGAGGAGGAGAGGAGACAGGAGGGCUGGGGGAGGUGGGGUUACCCUGGAAUGCACUGUCACCACCAGAAAGAAAUGCACCCUCACUGGUUUGGUGCUUUGCGUGGAGGAGAAGAUAAUGACUCACAGGAAUAAAUAUAUUUAGAGGAUGGAGAGAGAAAGAGAGAUCUGAGAGAGAGAGGCUUCCAGAGAAACUCAAAGGAGCGGACAUGAUUUUGACCUGAACGAUCUGGAGACAGGACAGAAAGACGUGGUGGAGACAGUCCUGGUCCCCUGACUGAGCUGUGAGGCAGCAUCUUGAAUGAACACAACUCUGUAUCAAACUAGAAAUCAUUCAAUCAGUAAGACCUUAUUGUUGAAACAGUUUUCAUACGAACCAAAUGUAACACCUCCCCACGCACACGUUCACUCACACACACACACACAGACACACACACACACACACACACACACACACACACACACACAAAGCAAGGCAUUGAGAAAUAAAGACAGGGAGGGAGGAAACGCUAUCUCACCAAUUUACAAUGAGGAAACACUAGAGGUAGAGUUUAAAAAAAGAAAAGGAGAGCAAAAAAGUAGUAGAAAUAAGGAUAAUCUGAUUCUAACUGGGAAUAGAUGUAUCUGGAGGGGGGGGGGGGGGUGAAACAAUAAAGUACAGUGCAUUCAAAGGACAAUUUCCUGAAAAUAAUAAAAUAUUUACAUUUUAAGGAUGAAGAAAGAACAGGCUAAAAUGUAAAUAAAUGGACAAAUACAUAAAUCUCAAUUGAAUUCAGAAUAAAUGUUAUUUAAUAGAAAUCAACAUCUGUAUAUCACACGGCAGCGUUAACUUUCUGCACUAUAAUUAUUUUUCAACUAGUAACACACAAGUCAAGGGAAACUACAUACUGACCCGUCCAUGUGAGAAAAGAAAUGUGUCCUUUCCCAGCCCUGAUUAUUGCGUCAUGAUCUGUGAUCCCAACAUCUGCCUAGGACAGAUGUGACGCUGUGUUGGUCAUGUGGGAAAGACCAGGCUGCAACAUCAGUCUCUAUCUGCUCCUGACCCCUUGUGGAAUAUGUGAAGCACUGCAGGUUGCAGGCAUUUUAAAUACAGAGCCAAAUCCUGCUGCCUGGAAUAUCAACUGUUAGUGUUUCUACUGCAACAUUAAACAGAUACAAUAGUUUAAUCUAGUGAGGGCAGUGAUUUCAGAUUAGGCAGUAAAAGAUUUAUAUUGUACAGGACACGGGGAUUCCAGACACAGGCCAUGUUUAUUCAAUACACUGAAUCCACUGAAGAAAAGGAGAAACUACAAACUCAAUUGAUUUGAAACACAGUCGGGCUUGUGUGUCUGUGCAGUUGCAGGUUAAUGUGCUCCCUUGUCUCCAGUUUCAUUGGCUGUCACACACACACUGUGGUUUCUGAGGUUCAACCACAACAUCACAAGUUCACGACCACUGUGGUGCCGAUAUUCUGAAGUGGGGCAAAUUGGGUUUCCUUUUGGUUUGCUCAUUUACAUGUGGAUGUAGGUUGGGUGUAAAUCCCAUCUGCAUCAAUACCAGAGUUCAGUCUGCAAACGUGAGCAAGGAAAACGUACUAAUUCAAUAUUCUGCCCCCGGGCCUGUGCUCACUGACUUGUCAUGAGGAAACUUAAUGCACUUGAGCAGACUUGAAAUUCCAGAAGGUCCCGAUUCCUCACGGUGUCUUGUGAUGUGACGUCUUUCCCACGCUCUCCCUCACCCGGGUUCUCAUCCAGCGUGUCCACUCCAGCUGCCUGAGAUGUGAAACAUGAAAGAAACAAGGCAGAAAAGGGGGUGAUUGUUGUGUCCGUAGUGCAAAAGUGUUGUGGCUCCGCACUGUGUGAUUGUGUGUCUGUUUUCUCCACAGGGAGCCCAGCCCAACGGCGUCUCCAGAUCCCAACCGGCCUUCCUCGCGGGAGGGAACCCGUUCGCCACGGUCCGGCUACGUCCGACCCUCACCAACGACCGCUCCGCACCGGUCAUCUGAUCCGUCCACGUCUCCGCCCGUCUUCAGGUCCUCCCCGGCCUCCUGUCGUCCUCACACCCAGGACGUGCAGCUCUGCCCUGCCUUCAACUGACCAGCAGCUGUUUCUGGUCCUGGAUGAGACCGGACAGACGUCGGCCAGCACUGACACACAAAGUUAAACAAAACAUGCCAUCUGAAUCCGGGAUCCCCCUGACCGCUGCAAACUCUCCUGUGGAAGUGUUUUGGGAGCGUUUUCUUUACAGUUGCUCUUAUAUUUAAAAUAAUGUCUACUUUUGUCCUUCUGUGUGUGGUGGUGAUAUCUCCUUGACCACAUUCUUUGCCUGCACCUGAGAGCUGACGAAUAAAACCGGUCAAAGAAAAAUAUUUACGCCCGUUCAUGUUGCUUGUGUAUCGUGGAAACACAACUGUUAGAAAACAUUUCUGCUGCCAUAGGACAGAAGAAGAAUGUACUUUUUGAGGACCUCUUGUGUUUUGGGGUCUUUAUGAAAAUGCUGCAGCAUCUGGGAUUGAUUCUGAAAUGAUGUCGGCCGCCGCAGCGAGGAGAGAAAACUGCAAACAUUCACAGAGAUGCAUCCUGAAGUGAUCCGAUCCUCAUCUCCCUCUUGUAUAUAACUUUGUACAACAGACAUCGAUGUCCUUCGCCUGUAGAGACGCCUGUCGACUGUAGAGCUGGACGAUCACAGAGACUUUUGCCUUAAUGACCCACACGGUACAAACCUGCUGUAAAAUACUAUUUACCUGCUGCACCCUUCAGAUUGUGGACAUGAGCUGUGACAUCCCAACAAUCCCAGUGCAGUCGUUUCUGCUUUAAUCAUCACACACGGCACAGCCUGUAAACUCAUCUUCCAUAUUACACCCUUACUAGAAUGUGCUGUAAGAAAAAUAAAGAUUUAUUUCUUCA